GACGAACGCUGGCGGCGUGCUUAACACAUGCAAGUCGAACGACGUGGCGCACGGGUGAGUAAUACGUGGGUAACCUGCCCUCCUUUUUGGGAUAAGCCUUGGAAACGGGGUCUAAUACCGAAUAAAGGGGGUUGGGCUCGCGGCCUAUCCGCUUGUUGGGGGGGUGAUGGCCUACCAAGGCGGUGACGGGUAGCCGGCCUGAGAGGGUGACCGGCCACAUUGGGACUGAGAUACGGCCCAGACGCCGACGGGGGGGGGCAGAGGGGGAUAGUGGACAAUGGGCGAAAGCCUGAUGCAGCGACGCCGCGUGGGGGAUGAAGGCUGUCGGGUUGUAAACCUCUGUCGCUAUCGAGCGGGUAGGUGGAGAAGAAGCGCCGGCUAACUACGUGCCAGCAGCCGCGGUAAUUC
rnacentral:rRNA from 1 species